AGUUAAACACCUAAACGCUAAACUGUCCAGGGGAAGAGACAAACAGAAACUGCAAUGGAACUUGAACCCGCCAUGUCACCUGACCCGGCUAACACCGGUUGGGGGCCGACGGUAUGGACUUUUCUCUCCAAGGUCGGCAGCGAUUCACCGCUCGUGCAAUGCAUCACAAACUUCGUCACCAUGGAUCUUGUGGCCAACACUCUCCUUGCCGCUGGAGCCUCGCCCGCCAUGCUCCACUCUCUAGAGGAAAUCCCCGAUUUCACUCCACAAGCUAACGCGCUCUGCAUCAACGUCGGCACACUCUCGCCUGACUGGAUACCGUCCAUGAACGCUGCCGCGGAGCUUGCUUCCAAAUUGGGGAAGCCGUGGGUUCUUGAUCCUGUUGCUGCUGGGGCUUCGGGUUUUCGAAUGAAGGCUUGUUUGGAGCUUGUGGGGUUGAAGCCCUCUGUUAUUAGGGGGAAUGGGUCUGAGAUUAUAGCACUCUCCAAGGCUUCCGUUGGAAACACCAAGGGCGUAGACAGCUCCCAUGAAUCCAUGGACGCAGUGGAGGCAGCGAAAUCGUUAGCUCAUACAAGUGGUUGUAUAGUUGCAGUAUCAGGAGCUGUUGACAUCAUUACUGACGGGGAGCAGGUAAUUGGUGUGUAUAAUGGGGUAUCGAUGUUGCAAAAGAUUACUGGAACAGGAUGUUCAGUCACUGCUCUUAUUGCUGCCUUUGUUGCUGUUGACCCAUCACAUGCUCUGGAAGCAACAGCAUCAGCUUUGUCCGUAUUUGGUAUUGCUGCUGAGAAAGGAAUGGACUUGGCCAAGGGUCCUGCUUCGUUGCGGAUGCAUUUGAUAGAUUCUCUGUACGGGCUUGAUCAAGAUGCUGUACAGACUUGUGUAAAUAUCUCCAGUCUUUGAUGGAACAAAGAAUCAUACACGGAUAGAUGGAUGGAAGAAUAGGAAGGAUAUUCUGAUGUACUUGUACUAGCAAAAGGCAAUAACUCAGCAGCAAUAGCAUAUUCAAGGUCCCACUGACAUGAUUGUGUUUCUGCCCAUCUAAUACUCAAGCUUGGCAAUUCAGUGAAGUUUGGAUAUCCUUGAGACUUUGUUCAUAGUCAUCGCCUUAAUCACCAGAGAUACCAUUGGGUUCUCUCUAUGGAUUUAGAUUAAGCUGUUUCUGUUCCAAAUGAAUGCUGAAGAGAGGAAGAGAGCUCUUCAAAUACUCCAAACAUGCUAAGAUUUGCACUGGUUCUUUCUUUGUGGAGCUUUGUAGAGAAUCACGGGCUCGAAUCACCUUGGCAUGAGAAAGAUAUUGCAUCACGUGGAUGAAAGUACUUGAAUAUUAUGCAAUGUUGUUUAUUCAGGUGGAGAUGUAAAUAUGCAAUCCGCAGAGGAUGUAAACUCAAUGUUUGAUCGUAUUCCGUCGGAUGUGGAGAGAAGGUUUGAGAUCACAAGUCACAACACCACAGGCCGGCUAAGAUGGAGUAAGCAGAGGCAACUCAAAUGGUGGUGACAGAACAAGAUUUUUCAGUUUUGCCAUUACCAAAUUACAACAGGAAACUGUAAAUGUUCUUUAGACAGAAGUACAAUGGAGAAAUUGGAAUGUUUUGAUUCAAUACAAGGAAAUUGACAAUC